GGGGGCGUAGUUCAGGGGGAGAAUGCUUCCUUGGCGUGGAAGAGGUCGUGGGUUCAAUUCCCACCGCCUCCA
rnacentral:tRNA from 1 species